rnacentral:lncRNA from 1 species
AUGACAGUCAGAGGGAACUGAUUUGGCCGUAUUGGGCUCCUGGUCACCAGGGCUGUCUUCAACCCUGGCAAAGUGGAUAUUGGUGCCAUCAGUGAUCCUUUCCUUGACCUCAGCUACAGGGUCUACAUGUUUCGGUAGGAUUCCACACACAGCAAGGACCACGGCACAGUAAAGGCUGAUAACAGGAACGCUGUUGUCAAUGGGAAGGCCACCUCUGUACUUCCAGGACUCUCCAACAGCAAAUGGAGCAAGGCUGAUGCCUACUAUGUUGUGGAAUCUACUGUUGUUUUCAUGGCCAUGGAGAAGGCUGACCCCCUUAGCAGAUAGAGCGGAAAAGGUCCUCAUCUAUGCACCUUUGGCUGAUGGGGUCCCCAUGUUUGUGAUGACACUCAAGGUUAUCAGCAGAGAAUCCUGUGCCACCAACUGGACAGGCCUCGAGCCAAAAUGUCAUCCGUGACAACUUUGGCAUCGCCCUUAACAACCACUUUGCCAACUCAUUUCCUGGUAUAACAAGGAAAUUUGGCAACAGCAACUCAGUGAUACUCCUCACGGUCCUCAUGACCUCCAAGCAGUAAG